rnacentral:rRNA from 1 species
ACACAUGCAGUCGAACGGAGCUUGCACUUCUGAAGUUUUCGGAUGGACGAGGUACAAGCUUAGUGGCGAACGGGUGAGUAACACGUGAAGAACCUGCCCUUCAGUGGGGGACAACAGUUGGAAACGACUGCUAAUACCGCAUAAGACCACAGUACCGCAUGGUACAGUGAUCAAAGGAUUUAUUCGCUGAAGGAUGGCUUCGCGUCCGAUUAGGUAGUUGGUGAGGUAACGGCCCACCAAGCCUACGAUCGGUAGCCGGACUGAGAGGUUGAUCGGCCACAUUGGGACUGAGACACGGCCCAGACUCCUACGGGAGGCAGCAGUGGGGAAUAUUGCACAAUGGAGGAAACUCUGAUGCAGCGACGCCGCGUGAGGGAAGAAGGUCUUCGGAUUGUAAACCUCUGUCUUCAGGGACGAUAAUGACGGUACCUGAGGAGGAAGCACCGGCUAACUACGUGCCAGCAGCCGCGGUAAAACGUAGGGUGCAAGCGUUGUCCGGAAUUACUGGGUGUAAAGGGAGCGCAGGCGGGAAGGUAAGUUGGAUGUUUAAUCUACGGGCUCAACCCGUAUCAGCAUUCAAAACUAUUUUUCUUGAGUAGUGCAGAGGUAGGCGGAAUUCCCGGUGUAGCGGUGGAAUGCGUAGAUAUCGGGAGGAACACCAGUGGCGAAGGCGGCCUACUGGGCACUAACUGACGCUGAGGCUCGAAAGCAUGGGUAGCAAACAGGAUUAGAUACCCUGGUAGUCCAUGCCGUAAACGAUGAUUACUAGGUGUGGGAGGAUUGACCCCUUCCGUGCCGCAAUUUACACAAUAAGUAAUCCACCUGGGGAGUACGACCGCAAGGUUGAAACUCAAAGGGAUUGACGGGGGGCCCG